rnacentral:rRNA from 1 species
CGCAUCUGCUGCAUGCAGCAUAUCAAUAAGCGGAGGAAAAGAAACUAACAAGGAUUCCCCUAGUAACGGCGAGUGAAGCGGGAAGAGCUCAAAUUUGAAAUCUUAAAGGGUUUCCCUUUACGAAUUGUAGUUUAAAGAAGUGUUUUCUGUUGAGGUUUUGGUAAAAGUUCUUUGGAAUAGGACAUCAUAGAGGGUGAGAAUCCCGUAUUUGACCUUUACUUUCAACUUUGUGAUACACUUUCAAAGAGUCGGAUUGUUUGGGAAUGCAGUCCAAAAUGGGUGGUAAAUUUCAUCUAAAGCUAAAUAUUGGCGAGAGACCGAUAGCGAACAAGUACCGUGAGGGAAAGAUGAAAAGAACUUUGAAAAGAGAGUUAAACAGUACGUGAAAUUGUCAAAAGGGAAGCGUUUGACACCAGUGUUGUUUUUCUGAAAAUCAAUUAAAGAACUGUUUAUGCUAAGCUUGUUUAGACUUUAUCAGCUAACUGUUUAGUUUUGAGCUUUUCUUUAAUGCACUUUUCAGUUAACAAGUCAACAUCAAUUUCUUUUGCUGUAAAAAAGCUUGAGGAAGGUGGCUUGAGAUUCGUCUUAAGUGUUUAUAGCCCUCUUGCCUAUGCAGUCGGAGAGAUUGAGGUCUGCAGCGUAGAUCCUUCGGGGCUAAAUGCAUUUGUGCUAAGUUAUAGCAUUUUAUAGACAACUUGUUGACUAUGAUUUGUCUUGUAGCUUACUCGCUUAUGUUAUUUUACCUACGCUUAGGAUGUUGAACGCGCACAGAGUCUC